AUGCAAUGGCAUCUCAAGAGUUUGCACCGUAGGCUACUUUGCUGGACUGUUGUCGGCUCUUCUUCACAGGGCGGUGAGUUUAUUUUGUGUCUAUGACUUUCUAUCAAUUUAUCUUUCUAAUGAUUUCGUUUGUAGAGGGAGCAUUGUACGACUGCGGAAAAGUCUUUCAGUACCAGCGUCCUGGCGGAGUGCAUGGGAUCGCUCGAUGGCGUGCUUAAACAGUUGGUACCAGAUCUCUUCACGACUUUGACCAACCUGAUGCGCGAUUCGGAUAGUGAAGUGCGGACCAAUUCUGUUUUUGGAUUGGGAGAACUCGUCCUCCACGGACGUGAAUUGCUCUUCCCAAAUUUCCCGCUUAUUCUUCAGUUACUUUCCGAUGCAUUAUCGCGCGUGACUUAUCCGCUUGCGCUGGAUAAUAUUUGCGCAGCAUUUACUCGGAUGAUCAUCGUCAACAUCAGUGCAGUACCCAUGGAUCAGGUAUGGGACUGCGGUAAAUUUGUGUGUUAUCUCUCGAUUAUUUACUAUUUCCCGUGUGUUUUGUAGGUUUUCCCAUUACUGAUGAGUUAUCUUCCGUUGCGGGAAGACAGUCACGAGAACUCUUCGGUGCUUAAAUGUUUCCUUUUUCUAUCCUCUAAUGGUCACCCGCUCUUUGCAUCACAUUUACCUCAAGUCAUGAACGUUAUAUUAACGAUUCCCACACAACAGGAACUCCAACUUGAGCAAAAACCCAUGAUUAAUGAGCUGAUGGCGCAGUGGCGCACAUCGCAUCUGAUUUUCCUGAUCUGUACAACGAAUGGGCGUGUGCUCUUCCAGCUGAAGUACAUCAGAAGUUGAAAGAGGUUUUGGCUUAAUUAGUGGGGCAAAAAUUUUUAAUUCUUGAAUCUUCCUCCCCUUAAAAAUUGCAACCUAUUGAUUGGUUAUUAUUAGUUUUUUUAAUUUUGUAAUCCGUUUACGAAUUUUGGAGUUGAAUCCUCCGAAGGUAAAGCAUCGAGGUAAUGUGACAGAACCAAGACAACGUUCCGUGUAUACGAAUCAGAAAUGUGUGUAUUUAUAACUACUCCCAUUUUAAUUAAUUAACUGUUCAA